rnacentral:rRNA from 1 species
AUUGAACGCUGGCGGCAGGCCUAACACAUGCAAGUCGAACGGUAACAGGAAGAAGCUUGCUUCUUUGCUGACGAGUGGCGGACGGGUGAGUAAUGUCUGGGAAACUGCCUGAUGGAGGGGGAUAACUACUGGAAACGGUAGCUAAUACCGCAUAAUGUCGCAAGACCAAAGAGGGGGACCUCCGGGCCUCUUGCCAUCGGAUGUGCCCAGAUGGGAUUAGCUAGUAGGUGGGGUAACGGCUCACCUAGGCGACGAUCCCUAGCUGGUCUGAGAGGAUGACCAGCCACACUGGAACUGAGACACGGUCCAGACUCCUACGGGAGGCAGCAGUGGGGAAUAUUGCACAAUGGGCGCAAGCCUGAUGCAGCUAUGCCGCGUGUAUGAAGAAGGCCUUCGGGUUGUAAAGUACUUUCAGCGGGGAGGAAGGGAGUAAAGUUAAUACCUUUGCUCAUUGACGUUACCCGCAGAAGAAGCACCGGCUAACUCCGUG